GCCGGGCAUGGUGGUGCCUGCCUGUAAUCCCAGCUACUGGGAGGCUGAGGCAGGAGAAUCGCCUGAACCCAGGAGGUGGAGGUUGCAGUGAGCUGAGAUCAUGCCACUGCAUUCCAGCCUGGGCGACAGAGCGAGACUCCGUCUCGA
rnacentral:SRP_RNA from 1 species